UUAACGGUGAGACUGUAGUCCAGCAGAAUGGCGAGCCCCUGUCUUUAGCCCUCGCCACAGAAUCAACUGAUCCUGAUGUUGUGAUGGUCGAAUCAGACGGAAAACCUGCUGACGCUCAAACUGUUUCUGCAAUCCUUGAAACCAUCAUCCAGAAGGAAGAGGUCAAGGAAAGAAAUGAACAUCAACCAGAUGUAAGUCUUCCUGUCCCCGAUCCACAGCCGGAGACAGCUGACCUAAAGCAAGAAUCAGAAUCACUAACGGAGCCGAAGAGUGAGACUCUAGACGCGGGUCAACCUGAGGAAAACCAAGAGGACAGUAAAGAAGAAGAGAAUCCAGUUAUGAACUUCUUCAAAACACUAGUGACUCCCAAAAUAACCAAGGAAACAGCUACUCCUGAUGCCCCAAAAGAUCAGUCCCAGAAGGAGAACCAACCAGCGGCAACCACUACUGUUGCACAAGUAUCUGAGCCGCCAGCAGCACUCAAAGGAAUGUCUAUCCCCCCACCACCUCCUCCAGAGCCACCGAAAAUGGAAAUUAAGGGAGAAACAGCUGCCAAACCUGUCAAACCCACACCCAAAGAAGAACCCAAAGCUGCUGCAAAGACACCCGAGUCCUCAAAAGGAAAAUCGGCCAGAUCCACUCUGAGCAAUCUCUUCCGUCCAAAGGUGCUGCUAGGUGUCAAGGUGUUCAAAUGCAAGGGCGCUUCAGCAAGUGGAGCCAAAGCCCCGGCCAAGACCGCAGCAGUGAAGGUGGAUCCCUCAAAAACUGGCACUCUGGAAGCUGCCGCAAAGCCAGAACCGCCACCGCCAGUUCAGGAGGAAAAGAAAAAAGCUUCAAAAUCAUCCUUCAUGUCUCUCUUCAAGCCCAAAGUACUGUUAGACCACAUGACCACAAAAGUCCAGGCAGCCUCCACAAGUGGAGUUCGGCUCCUCAGGAGAACAGCUGGAGUGGCUGUUGAUCCCAAAAGUGCGACCCCUGCCCCAGCUGCUGCAGCAGAGACGGUUAAAGCCAAGGAGGAACCCAAAGCAGCAGCCAAGUCAUCAGAGGCGGUUGUAGAAAACAAGCCUACAGUGGCCUCCCAAGCUGACGACGAUGCCGCCAAUGUGCCCAAGAAACUGGAGAAGAGGAACUCCAUCCAGCUGUUCUUUAAAAUUCUGGGUCAGAAACGUAACUCGACAGAUGCCGGGGUCCAGACAGAGUCCGCCCCUGUUGCUGCAGGAGCUGAGAAGGCCAAAUGAAACCAAAACCCACAGUGAAGUUUCCCUGUAAAAACUCCCUCUAUCUUCUUUGCUCUUACUCAAUCUUCAUAUCUCUCUCUCUCUGUCUCAUUUUCCCUUUCAACCCUUAUUGAAUUCCUUUAACUACAUGUUGUUGUUUGUGUUACUGUUUAGAAGUUACAAUGCGGGAGGAGAAGUGACUUUAAGGGUAAAAGCAAGUUGUGAGAACGUCAAACAGUGGACAGUUGAACAAGUGGUGAUUUGAAAGGGUCAAAGGCGAGGUUGUUGAGAUAUAUAAUAUUUUUGUUGGUCAUAUAAAUGUCUUGACAAGUAUAGAAAUGUGAGAGUGAAACCUUUUCUACAGACAUUUAAUGUGACUUCUCUCCGUUCUUGCGACCUAACUCGCUGGGCUGAAGCAAUAGACCACGCUUUGCUUUGAGCAAAUUAUUUAAAGAAAAAGGUUCUAUUUACAGAAACCAGACAGAAAUCAUACAGUUGUGGCAAAGUAGGUGUUAAUAUGAAAUUACAUUGAAAAAAAAGUACUUAAAUCUAUAUGACAUGAAAAUGACCAGCUGAUAACAGGAGCAUAUUUGUUUAACAAACUUCACUUACAGAUUUUUUUUAACUUUAUGCAAGCUACACGUAGACUAAAGCAUAUACUCACGUAUCCUAACAGUCAUGUAUUGGGCCAUAUGGGAAAAUCACAAUAUUUACUGUUCUGUGGGGAACUGAUUGUAAGUGUAACAGAUGCAUCUGAGGUGGCAAAACAAAAGGUGUAGUCAUAAAUCACAGUCGAUUAGCUUUUAAUUUGAUUACACUUUGUGUCGUGUAUUUUAACGGAAGUCUUAUGGUGUUAGUCAUUUGUGUUUGGCAUACGUGCAAUUAAUAUAAUGCUUUUGUUUGCCUACAUGUAUGUAUGCGUGUGUAUGUGUAACUUCAGCUAUCUUGAAGACAAUAAACAUGUUCACCAUUUGUUUGUUGUUCAUCAGUGAAGAGGAACGAGAAUAACUGGGUGUUGCGACAACUGCAGAAUAUGUGGAUCAGCAAGUUUGGCAAAAAUAAAAUCAUAUGCUACACUUCCAAAUCUUUUUUUGAUGUACACAAGAUAAAGCAUUAUACUUGUGAGCUAAGAGGGAGU
rnacentral:lncRNA from 1 species